rnacentral:rRNA from 1 species
GGAGUUAGCCGGUGAUUCUUCUGUGAGUGAUGUCCUUCCUGCCGGCUAUUAACCCGCAGGCCUUCUUCCUCACUGAAAGUGCUUUACAACCCGAAGGCCUUCUUCACACACGCGGCAUGGAUGGAUCAGGGUUGCCCCCAUUGUCCAAUAUUCCCCACUGCUGCCUCCCGUAGGAGUCUGGGCCGUGUCUCAGUCCCAGUGUGGCUGAUCAUCCUCUCAGACCAGCUACGGAUCGUCGCCUUGGUGAGCCGUUACCUCACCAACCAGCUAAUCCGACAUAGGCUCAUCCGAUAGCGCGAGGCCCGAAGGUCCCCCGCUUUCCCCCGUAGGGCGUAUGCGGUAUUAGCCUGGGUUUCCCCAGGUUAUCCCCCACUACCGGGCAGAUUCCUAUGCAUUACUCACCCGUCCGCCGCUCGCCACCAGGGAGCAAGCUCCCCGUGCUGCCGCUCGACUUGCAUGUGUUAGGCCUGCCGCCAGCGUUCAAUCUGAGCCAGAAUCAAACUCUGA